AAAGCAUAUAAAAAAGGCUGUCUUAAAGGCUAGGCUAAGCGCUACAGUAAUUUUAGUUUAACAGUUUCUAUGUUGCAGUAUGGUUGUUAUGGUUGCAAAUCUGUUAUUUUCCUUUGGAGUAUUUAGAGGUUCUGGUGUUUCUUAUGAACUAUUUUUUUGAUAACAAAAAAAAAAAAAAAAUAAAAAAUAAAUCCAGUAGAAAAAGUGUUGCUUACAGUGAUUGCAUUGGUUCUGCCAAAUACAUAUAAGUACAUAUAUGUAUGUAUCUGCCACAAAUACUAGCACAGCAAUAGCAACAUCAUCAUCAUAUUUCAUUUGCUACCAUAUAAAUCAACACUUUGAUUUAGAUUUCAAUGUAUGCCAAAAUACUAAAGUUAACAUGGGGGAGGGUGUUUGUCGCAAUGGAAAAUUGUAAAAAAAAAAAAAAUAUUUGCAUGACACUUGAAAAACAUAUAAACGUAACGAUGAAGAUGAAGAAGAAAUUUUCAAAUAUAUUUGAAAGUGUAAAUAACUACACUUUAUAUGCGUUUUUUCACACAUACUUUUUUUGUAGCCUUAUGGAUUUUCUUAUUCAUUUAUGUUUAAUAAAAAAAAGUAAAUAUAAAGAAAAAGUUUUUCUGGUCAAAUUUAAACUUCUUCUUGCCAAAAUAAACACAUCACAAGUCAAGUUUUCUUUAGUAUUCAAUUUGAUAAAGAAAAAAGAAGUAAAAGAAAAACGGAAACGGAAGGGACCAGAUAAGACCAAGAGAAAAAGAGAGCUUUGAAAAGCCAGCAAUCAAGUGUAUGUGAGAAAAUGUAUGUAUUUUAUGUAGUUUACCGGUUUGUAAGUAUUUGUUGUACGAAUGUAUUUUCAG